CCUACGGGUGGCUGCAGUGGGGAAUAUUGGACAAUGGGGGCAACCCUGAUCCAGCCAUGUCGCGUGUGUGAAGAAGGCCCUCGGGUUGUAAAGCACUUUCAGUGAGGAAGAACGCCUGGUGGUUAAUACCCAUCAGGAAAGACAUCACUCACAGAAGAAGCACCGGCUAACUCCGUGCCAGCAGCCGCGGUAAUACGGAGGGUGCGAGCGUUAAUCGGAAUUACUGGGCGUAAAGCGCGCGUAGGUGGCUUGAUAAGCCGGUUGUGAAAGCCCCGGGCUCAACCUGGGAACGGCAUCCGGAACUGUCAAGCUAGAGUGCAGGAGAGGAAGGUAGAAUUCCCGGUGUAGCGGUGAAAUGCGUAGAGAUCGGGAGGAAUACCAGUGGCGAAGGCGGCCUUCUGGACUGACACUGACACUGAGGUGCGAAAGCGUGGGUAGCAAACAGGAUUAGAUACCCUAGUAGUC
rnacentral:rRNA from 1 species